GUAGGCUCGACGCGGAGCCGAAGGCGAACCGAACCGGUACACCGACGACUUCUAUAAAGACGCCCGCCGGCGGCGUGACGAAUGUCCAGCGAUGUAACACAACGCAUACCAUUGACCUUUUACACCGGGACCAAACCGGCGGGAGUGAAGUAACAACGAAGCGAAUCGCCGUCACGGCUCCAAUUCAGCCGAUAACGAAGCGCUGAUUAUCGUGGGACGGAAUGCACACCGCCAAUUGUAAAUCCCUUCUCCGCAAUGAAUAUAAUGUAUAAUAUGCCAUGUAAGAAAUCGACGCGUAUAAUCACAAAAACUAAAUGUUGUGCUAAUCUAUCUUAUCCUACCAGGCUGUGUCUGUGAGC